rnacentral:rRNA from 1 species
GGAAUAUUGCACAAUGGGCGAAAGCCUGAUGCAGCAACGCCGCGUGAGGGAUGACGGCCUUCGGGUUGUAAACCUCUUUUAGUAGGGAAGAAGCGAAAGUGACGGUACCUGCAGAAAAAGCACCGGCUAACUACGUGCCAGCAGCCGCGGUAAUACGUAGGGUGCAAGCGUUGUCCGGAAUUAUUGGGCGUAAAGAGCUCGUAGGCGGUUUGUCGCGUCUGCUGUGAAAUCCCGAGGCUCAACCUCGGGCUUGCAGUGGGUACGGGCAGACUAGAGUGCGGUAGGGGAGAUUGGAAUUCCUGGUGUAGCGGUGGAAUGCGCAGAUAUCAGGAGGAACACCGAUGGCGAAGGCAGAUCUCUGGGCCGUAACUGACGCUGAGGAGCGAAAGCAUGGGGAGCGAACAGGAUUAGAUACCCCAG